CCAGACUCCUACGGGAGGCAGCAGUGGGGAAUAUUGCACAAUGGGGGAAACCCUGAUGCAGCGACGCCGCGUGAGCGAAGAAGUACCUCGGUAUGUAAAGCUCUAUCAGCAGGGAAGAAGAUGACGGUACCUGACUAAGAAGCUCCGGCUAAAUACGUGCCAGCAGCCGCGGUAAUACGUAGGGGGCGAGCGUUAUCCGGAUUUACUGGGUGUAAAGGGAGCGUAGACGGCGAAGCAAGCCUGGAGUGAAAGCCCGGGGCUCAACCCCGGGACUGCUUUGGAAACUGUGCGGCUAGAGUGUGGGAGAGGUAGGUGGAAUUCCUGGUGUAGCGGUGAAAUGCGUAGAUAUCAGGAGGAACACCAGUGGCGAAGGCGGCUUGCUGGACGGUAACUGACGUUGAGGCUCGAAAGCGUGGGGAGCAAACAGGAUUAGAUACCCGCGUA
rnacentral:rRNA from 1 species